GACGAACGCCGGCGGCGUGCUUAACACAUGCAAGUCGAACGGUAAGGCCCUUCGGGGUACACGAGUGGCGAACGGGUGAGUAACACGUGGGUGAUCUGCCCUGCACUUCGGGAUAAGCCUGGGAAACUGGGUCUAAUACCGGAUAGGACCACUGCCUGCAUGGGUGGUGGUGGAAAGCUUUUGCGGUGUGGGAUGGGCCCGCGGCCUAUCAGCUUGUUGGUGGGGUGAUGGCCUACCAAGGCGACGACGGGUAGCCGGCCUGAGAGGGUGACCGGCCACACUGGGACUGAGAUACGGCCCAGACUCCUACGGGAGGCAACAGUGGGGAAUAUUGCACAAUGGGCGCAAGCCUGAUGCAGCGACGCCGCGUGAGGGAUGACGGCCUUCGGGUUGUAAACCUCUUUCAGCACCGACGAAGCGCAAGUGACGGUAGGUGCAGAAGAAGGACCGGCCAACUACGUGCCAGCCGCCGCAGUAA
rnacentral:rRNA from 1 species